rnacentral:rRNA from 1 species
GACGAACGCUGGCGGCGUGCUUAACACAUGCAAGUCGAACGAUGAAGCCUAGCUUGCUAGGUGGAUUAGUGGCGAACGGGUGAGUAAUACGUGAGUGACCUACCUUUGACUCUGGGAUAAGCCUGGGAAACUGGGUCUAAUACCGGAUACGACCAAUCUCCGCAUGGGGUGUUGGUGGAAAGCGUUAUGGAGUGGUUUUAGAUGGGCUCACGGCCUAUCAGCUUGUUGGUGAGGUAAUGGCUUACCAAGGCGACGACGGGUAGCCGGCCUGAGAGGGUGACCGGCCACACUGGGACUGAGACACGGCCCAGACUCCUACGGGAGGCAGCAGUGGGGAAUAUUGCACAAUGGGCGCAAGCCUGAUGCAGCGACGCCGCGUGAGGGAUGACGGCCUUCGGGUUGUAAACCUCUGUUAGCAUCGAAGAAGCGAAAGUGACGGUAGGUGCAGAGAAAGCGCCGGCUAACUACGUGCCAGCAGCCGCGGUAAUACGUAGGGCGCGAGCGUUGUCCGGAAUUAUUGGGCGUAAAGAGCUUGUAGGCGGUUGGUCGCGUCUGCUGUGAAAGGCUGGGGCUUAACCCUGGUUUUGCAGUGGGUACGGGCUAACUAGAGUGCAGUAGGGGAGACUGGAAUUCCUGGUGUAGCGGUGGAAUGCGCAGAUAUCAGGAGGAACACCGAUGGCGAAGGCAGGUCUCUGGGCUGUAACUGACGCUGAGAAGCGAAAGCAUGGGGAGCGAACAGG